AUAAAAGAAUAAUUGAACAUUUGGGCGAUUACGUUAGAACGUGUCUUCCAAAUAUUUUUCUCCACCUUGACAGCUUCACGCAUCUUUACAAACAGAAAACCAGUUCCCUAAAUUGUAACCGCCCGCAUUUCACAUAGUGACCAGCGGAAGGCGACAGCACGGUGCCUAAAAACGACGUACUGUAUUGUGCAUUGAUGGCAUGGUUGCCAAUUCACUUUUCAUUUUUGUAGUGUGAAAUUGAAACAACAAUUUCCAGGGUACACCAGAGCCGUCAUGGCGGGUCACCAGGCGGCGUUAGCGUGCAAAGCGCCGUCCGGCAAGCAGGAGAAGAAGAUCGGUUUAAAUUGACGGAAGUGACGUCACAGAUCAA